CCUACGGGUGGCAGCAGUGGGGAAUAUUGCGCAAUGUGCGAAAGCCUGACGCAGCGACGCCGCGUGAGGGAUGAAGGUCUUCGGAUCGUAAACCUCUGUCAGCAGGGAAGAAGGGUCACUGUGCUAAUCAGCAGUGAAUUGACGGUACCUGCAAAGGAAGCACCGGCUAACUCCGUGCCAGCAGCCGCGGUAAUACGGAGGGUGCGAGCGUUAAUCGGAAUUACUGGGCGUAAAGCGCUCGUAGGCGGUAUGUCAAGGCAAGGGUGAAAUCCCCGCGCUCAACGUGGGAACUGCAUUUGAAACUGGCAGACUGGAGUGUGUGAGAGGGUAGUGGAAUUCCAGGUGUAGGAGUGAAAUCCGUAGAGAUCUGGAGGAACAUCAGUGGCGAAGGCGACGAUCUGGCACAUAACUGACGCUGAGGAGCGAAAGCGUGGGUAGCAAACAGGAUUAGAUACCCCUGUAGUC
rnacentral:rRNA from 1 species